rnacentral:misc_RNA from 1 species
AGUGUCAAAUGUGACAGCUUGAAAUUUUUUAACAAAUCAUAUAUAUAUAUAGACGUUUAUAGACGUUUUCUUAUCAGAAAUAACAUUCUCCUACGAGGGAAAAUUAUUAGUAAAUUCGUGACGGAAGGAAGUUGAAAGUGUAUGCACAAAAAGGAUAUCAGUACAACGUUUUGAAAAAUUUAACAUUUUAAAAUACUUCUCAUAACUCAGUAAAACCGGGAAGCUUAAAUGUAAAGAGAAGUACUAAUAGAUGUUUAAUUGUUUAUCCUGACGGACUUUUAAACGCUGGCUGUAUGUACUAUAUUACUAUAUAUGUAUAUAGUAUAUUGUUUACAAUUAUUUGUAUUCAGUCAGUAAAAUAAUUUAUAAAUUUUAAAAUCAACAAGGGACUGCAUGCCGAUAUUUUCGUAACAAAAAGAGAUAAGGUAUUAAAAUGAGUCAACUUCAAAGUUCUAAUUCGGGUGGUCAAUUUAUGGAUCGGGGGCGCAUGAAUCAAAAUGGUGUUGUCCAGCCUCUUUUAACAGAUCUUUAUCAGAUUACGAUGGCAUACGCUUAUUGGAAGUCAGGAAAAACUGAUGACCAAUCGGUAUUUGAUUUGUUCUUUCGAACGAAUCCAUUUCAUGGAGAAUUCACCAUAUUUGCUGGACUGGAGGAAUGUCUAAAAUUUUUAGAUAGUUUCCACUACUCAGAUAGCGAUAUUGACUAUCUGAGGCAAACAUUACCCGAAGGUGUAGAAAAUGAUUUUUUUGAAUACUUAGCCAGUUUGACGGCAAAAGAUGUUACCUUAUACGCCAUCGAUGAGGGUACAGUGGCCUUUCCAAGGGUACCUAUUAUCAAAGUUGAAGGACCUUUGAUAAUUGUGCAGCUUUUGGAAACAACAUUAUUGACGUUGGUGAAUUAUGCAAGUUUAAUGGCAACGAAUGCUGCUCGUUAUCGUAUGGUGGCUGGAAAACAUGUCAAACUUUUAGAAUUCGGCCUACGUCGUGCUCAAGGCCCAGAUGGAGGAUUAUCGGCAUCAAAAUAUUCUUAUACUGGGGGCUUUGAUGGAACAUCUAACGUGCUGGCAGGAAAACUAUUCAAUAUACCUGUUAAGGGCACCCAUGCACAUGCUUACAUAACGUCAUUUUCUGGUAUUGGAGAGUUAAAAACCCGCUUAUUAAGACAUAAGACAACAGGUAUAACUGGCGAUCUAUUGGACCACGCUGUCCGACAUCGUCAGGCAUUGGCCCAUGUGCUCGACGUAUCCCAGGAGGAGUCUAGUGAAGGCGAAUUGGCGGCAAUGGUGUCCUAUGCAAUAGCGUUUCCCGAUGGAUUCAUGGCGCUAGUCGAUACGUACGAUGUUAAGAGCAAAGUACAAACUUCGAAGUCAAGCAAAGACAAAAGUGUGACAAUCAAUUACGAUAUUCCUAUCAACUUGUCACAAUCUAACGGCCACAUUCUGCAGGAGACAGUUAAUGGAUAUUUUACCGCAAAUGAUGUGCAUGCAAGAAAUGAAAGUCUAGUUGCUACGAAUGAAAGACCAUGUACUGGUGCAUUACUGGACCUUAAUGAUGCAGUUGAAUCAAGUACGCACUUAAAUUCAGCCAGUAAACCUAAUAUCAUUUCUAUAAACACGACAACAGAUAGACAAACUCUAACUUCUUCUGCUCCAAACGCGUAUCUGCCAAAAUAUGUCGCGAAGUCAUUCAGAAGCGGGCUUUUAAAUUUCUGUGCUGUUGCAUUGGCGCUCAACGAUUUGGGCUAUCAUGCAGUUGGUAUUCGCAUCGACUCCGGAGAUUUGGCUUACUUAUCUUGCUUGGCACGUGAAACUUUCGAAAAGGUCGCCGAAAGGUUUAAGGUGCCAUGGUUCAAUAAGUUAACAAUUGUUGCAUCGAAUGACAUCAAUGAAGACACCAUUCUCAGCUUGAAUGAACAGGGUCAUAAAAUUGAUUGUUUCGGAAUCGGUACUCAUUUAGUUACAUGCCAAAGACAGCCAGCCCUCGGUUGUGUGUACAAGCUAGUUGAAAUAAAUGGACAACCACGCAUUAAAUUGAGCCAAGAUGUCGAAAAGGUCACAAUGCCAGGAAACAAGAACGCUUACAGAUUAUAUAGUGCUGAUGGACAUGCACUAAUUGAUUUACUACAGAAGGUUUCGGAGCCGCCUCCAAGUGUUGGUCAAAAAGUUUUGUGCCGUCAUCCCUUCCAGGAGUCGAAGCGGGCUUACGUAAUUCCCUCCCAUGUUGAAUUAUUGUACAAAGUAUAUUGGAAGGACGGCAAAAUUACACAACAGUUGCCCACAUUAGAACAAGUGCGCGAAAAGGUAAAGAUUUCGCUUAAAACCCUGCGGAAUGAUCACAAGCGCACACUCAACCCAACGCCUUAUAAGGUGGCCGUCAGCGACAAUUUAUACAACUUUAUACACGAUUUGUGGCUACAAAAUGCACCGAUUGGCGAACUCUCAUGAUCUAUAUAAUUUUCUAAUUUCCCGACAAAGAGUCAUGGUGCAAAUCAUAUGAACAUAAAAUUAAAAAAAAAUUCAUCUUAAUUUGAAAUAGGCAGCGAUACAAGCAAAUUACGUUUACAAUUCUCAUUUCAAUACAUUCGUAGAUUUAUAUAUGGAAAUCGGAUUGGGGAAAUAUAAGAUUACAGCACAACUUAUCAGGAAUGCGUCUUGUGCCUUAUGUACACAGACCCGGUUAUAUAUGUAUAAAUGCAUAUGAAUGCAAAUUCGUUUGCAUGACUUUUAAGUACAAUUAUUAGUUAUGCAAAUAAGCGUCAUUGUAGGUAUAUACACCAAUGUGUAUAUAUGAGCUUUUAAAUAGAUGUUAGUUGAACAUUAAAAUUAAUAUUACACUCACAAUGAAACAUACUGAAAUAUUGCAAGUUAAAAAAUUGUCAUAAUUAAUAUAAUAUAUAAUAUUUUAAGAUAUUAUUAAAAUCGAUUGAGAAAUUUCUUGCAAAACGUAAAAUAUGCACAACUUAACCUUCACUAAACCCUUUAUUGAGUAUAGAAUGCAUAACUAAAAUAGCAUUCCGAAUCACGUAAGCCAUUGUGGCAAUUUCUUGUUAAUGAAAACUUUUUGCCUCCCUGACGCACCCGAUGUAGUUUAAGAUUUAUAAUGUCUGUAAUUGAUUAAGUUACAUAUUAUGACAUUAGCAAAGCGUACAUACCAAGGCAUAUUUUAUAUAUGUAAUAUAGUUUGACCGUGUGUUUAAAAUUAAGUGUUGGUUUAUAUUUUUAAAUUAGAAUUAAAAGAUUGGAAACACAAAAAUAAAAUUUGUACAAAAUAAAUCAUCCAA